rnacentral:lncRNA from 1 species
ACUCCUAUAUUACAGAUGAUAACUACUUUUCUUGACUAUACAUCUAUUCUAUCUGCUAAACUACCUUUUCAGCAGUUAUCUAUCCCUGUUUAUACUAUACACUAGGUAUCUACAUUCUAAAAAUAACUACUUAUUCUACAUAGCCCCACUCCUAACUGUGCAGCAUCCUCACAAACACUCAAUUGAUACCUAUCUAAAAUUUAUCUUACAAAACUCUACAAAAAUUGCGAUCCUUGUGGCCUAUCUAAUUAAUCAAUUACCGUAGUAUCUAUUAUUGGUUCCACCAAUUU